GAGGAAUAUUGGUCAAUGGACGCAAGUCUGAACCAGCCACGUCGCGUGAAGGAAGACGGCCCUACGGGUUGUAAACUUCUUUUAUACGGGAAUAAAGUGCCCCACGCGUGGGGUUUUGCAAGUACCGUACGAAUAAGGAUCGGCUAACUCCGUGCCAGCAGCCGCGGUAAUACGGAGGAUGCGAGCGUUAUCCGGAUUUAUUGGGUUUAAAGGGUGCGCAGGCGGGCUUUUAAGUCAGCGGUGAAAUCUGGACGCUUAACGUCCAAACUGCCGUUGAAACUGGUUUCCUUGAGUGCGGAUGAGGUAGGCGGAAUUUGUGGUGUAGCGGUGAAAUGCAUAGAUAUCACGAGGAACUCCGAUUGCGCAGGCAGCUUACCAAGCCGUAACUGACGCUCAAGCACGAAGGCGUGGGGAUCAAACA
rnacentral:rRNA from 1 species